rnacentral:rRNA from 1 species
CCCUUAGAUGUUCUGGGCCGCACGCGCGCUACACUGAUGCAUUCAACGAGCCUAGCCUUGACCGAGAGGUCCGGGUAAUCUUUGAAACUGCAUCGUGAUGGGGCUAGAUUAUUGCAAUUAUUAAUCUUCAACGAGGGAUGCCUAGUAAGCGUGAUUCAUCAAAUCGCGUUGAUUACGUCCCUGCCCUUUGUACACACCGCCCGUCGCUCCUACCGAUUGAGUGUGUUGGUGAGGAGUUCGGAUUGGCUCUUAGUGGUGGUUCGCCACCACCUAGAGCUGAGAAGUUCUCCAAACCGCCCCACUUAGAGGAAGGAGAAGUCGUAACA